GAUGAACGCUGGCGGCGUGCCUAAUACAUGCAAGUCGAGCGGUAAGGCUCCUUCGGGAGUACACGAGCGGCGGACGGCUGAGUAACACGUAGGAACGUACCCCAAACUGAGGGAUAACUGCUCGAAAGAGUAGCUAAUACCGCAUGUGAUCUCCGGAUUAAAGCUUCGGCGGUUUGGGAACGGCCUGCGUACGAUUAGAUAGUUGGUGAGGUAAUGGCUCACCAAGUCGACGAUCGUUAGCUGGUCUGAGAGGAUGAUCAGCCAGACUGGGACUGAGAACGGCCCAGACUCCUACGGGAGGCAGCAGUAGGGAAUUUUCCACAAUGGGGGCAACCCUGAUGGAGCAACGCCGCGUGCAGGAUGAAUGCCUUCGGGUUGUAAACUGCUUUUAUAUGUGACGAAUAUGACGGUAGCAUAUGAAUAAGGAUCGGCUAACUCCGUG
rnacentral:rRNA from 1 species